GGCUCUUUCUGGGGCCAAAUGAGAAAACCUUCCAUGGCACGGUCACCAAGAAGGUCUUUCCAGAUGAAGCCCACCCCUGGCUUUUCCAGCUUCGCCCUACUGCCUACGAACACUUCUCACCGGACACGAAACCACAGGCAUUCUUUUCAGGGAAUUUUCAGACUGAGCGCACUGUCCUCUGUCCUUUGGGGCCACAUCCGCACGGACUUUAGGGACUGUCCGCCAGCCAGCUGACCAGUGCGCCCACGGUUUAAGAAUGUCUGUCACAUGAGGAGCCCUGUGUUGCGGCCGGGAGCGGCCGAGUCUUCCCACAGCAGUUUGACUUGAGGCAUUUCAGAGGCCUGCGGAAGAUGCCAGCAGGCAGCCCUGGACUUCUGGCCAAGCAGAGCAGAAGCCAAACAACCAUGGCUACAGUGUUCUGUUGUUUACAGAUGAAGACUGUUUCCUCUCUUCCCCAAGAAAAUCCUCUGAAGACAAAGAACAGGCCCUUCGCCAUCUGCCACAGGAGAACAAAUCUGAAGGUCAUGGCUCCCGGACGAAGGCGAUGCGGUCAGCGCCCAGAGACCUCGGCACACGGGCUGCUGCCUUCACCAAAAUGCCAAGGGGAGCCUGACGGAGGGGGGUCCGCCGCUCCCCAGGUUUCAGACCGUCUGUGCACAUCGGACACUACUACACGGAAUCGCGCACCGUUCGUCCAGAAAACAGCACAGAGCAGCCUCUUCCCUGAACUCUAAGGCAGAUUUUAUUUCCUUCAGGUGCUAGGCCAGUGCCCGAAGAGAAGCAUUACUUCUUGUCCCUCCAUUAAGGGAACGGUGUGGGGGUGGGGCAGCAAGAGCCCUUGAAGACAUAAGCGUGACCCCGAGUCCCUCGCGUCUGACCGAAUCUGCAAGACCGGCAGGACUUCACUUCACGCACUGGUCACCAUGACUUCUCACGUGAAUGUUUAAAUAUCCUCAACAGGACAGCAACCCUCCUGGGUCUCCUCCCUCCUCGGGAGCUCACCUUACCUCGCUGCCCACCCAAACAACAGAACAGUAAAAAGUAUUUGUAGGAGCAGAGGCCCGCAGCCCCAUGAGCCCAUCAGCGGGCUCGACUGUCACCGACCCAGGGCUGACCGUGAGCUUUGCCCCACACCCCACCUCCGAGCUUACAAAACCGUCCACUGGAGAGGCCCAUGGCUCUGCUGGUGUCCUCCGGGAAGCAGCACUCCUCUUCUCUUCCUUCUUCUUGUUUUUCUUUUUUGGACAUCAUAUCCGAACGAGCUAAGCUCCAUUUAACGUUUUAUAGAGUGGGGCCAAAAUUCAUUAAGUGUAUAAAGACCAGUUUUGAGCGAGAUUACAGUAUGUUCUGAAACAUCCAACAAAUGCUGUGGGUUCAAACGUGUGUCCCUCUGCAGGUUAGCCUCCCUGCUUUCGGUGAUGGUCCUACAACUUCUCACCUGGGCUUGUGCAGCUCUCUCCAACUGUCUUUCCUGGAUGCUGUAAGAGACAGCUUUUUCAAGCAUCUCCUGAAAAUGUCCUUCCCCUGCUGACAACCCCUGAAUGAUUCCUCAGGACUUUAGAACAAGAACUCAAGACGCCUCCAGUCCAAAUCCUACGUCCUGGAUCUGUUCCCCAGUCACACUGCUGAUCUGUGCACACCGUUUCUCGGUUCUUCCUCCUCCAGUGACCCCAAGUGCUUUCAGAACCCACUCUACCUGACCUCCCCAUCACUCCAGUCAGUCCUCACUGAGCCAUUGCUGAGACCAACCCCUAGACUGUGAGGGGCCUGAGGGCCUACACUUGUUUUUAUUGCCUUUGUUUUUCUGUAAAAUAAACACAUUCACAGGUCUGAGUAAA